rnacentral:tRNA from 1 species
UCGUGCCGUCGCCCGGCGGCUGGGGUUCGUCCUUGACGGGGCCGGGGGCCGGUUCCGUCCGGCGGCGGGGCC